rnacentral:lncRNA from 1 species
UACAUUGAUAUUUAUUUUUUAUAAUUAGUGUUAUAUGUUUUAGAUGUGUUGUAAUAUAACUAAGUGUAUUCAAAAGACCUAAACCGAAUCAGGUAAUACGGUUAUUUUGGUACAAAUAUUCAAACCCGUUUCAGAUACAUUUUUUUAUUUAGAUAUUUUUAGGUUUAUAUACAUUAAGACCGAACUCAUCCAAACCUAGAAGAACCCAACUCAAAACCCACAUAUAAAUUUAUAAUAUUCAAACGAUGCUUAAUUUCAAAAAACAAUGAUACCCG